rnacentral:rRNA from 1 species
AUUGAACGCUGGCGGCAUGCCUUACACAUGCAAGUCGAACGGCAGCACGGGAGCUUGCUCCUGGUGGCGAGUGGCGAACGGGUGAGUAAUACAUCGGAACGUACCCUGAAGUGGGGGAUAACGUAGCGAAAGUUACGCUAAUACCGCAUAUUCUGUGAGCAGGAAAGAGGGGGAUCGCAAGACCUCUUGCUUUAGGAGCGGCCGAUGUCGGAUUAGCUAGUUGGUGAGGUAAAGGCUCACCAAGGCGACGAUCCGUAGCGGGUCUGAGAGGAUGAUCCGCCACACUGGGACUGAGACACGGCCCAGACUCCUACGGGAGGCAGCAGUGGGGAAUUUUUGGACAAUGGGCGCAAGCCUGAUCCAGCCAUGCCGCGUGAGUGAAGAAGGCCUUCGG